GAUUUUCUUCAGGGCAGGGUGAAAUUCCCGAUCGGCGGUAAAGUCCGCUACUCCCUAAAGGGACUGAACCGGUGAAACUCCGGUACCGACAGUCAAAGUCUGGAUGGAAGAAGAAAUGU
rnacentral:ncRNA from 2 species